AUGUGGGCUGCCAGAGCUCUUAAGUUUGGCUAUAGAUGGGUAGUAGGAAAUGGUAGGAAGAUUAGAUUUCUGGAGGACAUCUGGUUUGGAACCUCCCCACUCUCUGUUCAGUUUUGGCCUUUAUACUCCAUUUGUCACCAACAAUGUGUGACAGUCUCUGAAGUUUGGGAUGGGAGUAAUAUUAAACUU
rnacentral:rRNA from 1 species